rnacentral:rRNA from 1 species
CAAUAGCGUAUAUUAAAGUUGUUGCAGUUAAAAAGCUCGUAGUUGGAUUUCUGGUGGGAGCGAUCGGUCUGGCGCUUAGCGCGAGUACUUGCAUCGUCUCCGGCCAUCCUUGGGGAGAGUCUGUCUGGCAUUAGGUUGUCGGGCAGAGGAUCCUCAUCGUCUACUGUGAAAAAAUUAGAGUGUUCAAAGCAGGCUUAUGCCGUUGAAUAUAUUAGCAUGGAAUAAUAAGAUAGGACUUUGGUACUAUUUUGUUGGUUUGCGCACCAAAGUAAUGAUUAAUAGGGACAGUUGGGGGUAUUCGUAUUCCGUUGUCAGAGGUGAAAUUCUUGGAUUUACGGAAGACGAACUACUGCGAAAGCAUUUACCAAGGAUGUUUUCAUUAA